ACACUCCUACGGGAGGCAGCAGUGGGGAAUAUUGCACAAUGGGCGCAAGCCUGAUGCAGCCAUGCCGCGUGUAUGAAGAAGGCCUUCGGGUUGUAAAGUACUUUCAGCGGGGAGGAAGGCGAUAAGGUUAAUAACCUUGUUGAUUGACGUUACCCGCAGAAGAAGCACCGGCUAACUCCGUGCCAGCAGCCGCGGUAAUACGGAGGGUGCAAGCGUUAAUCGGAAUUACUGGGCGUAAAGCGCACGCAGGCGGUCUGUCAAGUCGGAUGUGAAAUCCCCGGGCUCAACCUGGGAACUGCAUUCGAAACUGGCAGGCUAGAGUCUUGUAGAGGGGGGUAGAAUUCCAGGUGUAGCGGUGAAAUGCGUAGAGAUCUGGAGGAAUACCGGUGGCGAAGGCGGCCCCCUGGACAAAGACUGACGCUCAGGUGCGAAAGCGUGGGGAGCAAACAGGAUUAGAAACCCCUGUAGUCCCAUGAU
rnacentral:rRNA from 1 species